AACUUUUGACAACGGAUCACUUGGCUCCGGCAUCGAUGAAGAACGCAGCGAAAUGCGAUAACUAGUGUGAAUUGCAGAUUUCAGUGAAUCAUCGAGUCUUUGAACGCACAUUGCGCCCCUUGGUAUUCCUAGGGGCAUGCCUAUUCGAGCGUCGUUUCCACCUUCAAGCGCAAGCUUGGUGUUGGGGAUCGCCCCUGUAACAAGGCGGCGGCCCUUGAAUCCAUCGGCGGUGCCGGUGUGGCCUGAAGCGCAGCAGCAAUGCAGCUUUGAAAGCCCAUCGAUGCCCGCCGCGAAAGCAGCAGCCCUCGCGGCCUGCAUUUUUUAAACGUCGACCUCGAAUUAGGUAGGGAUACCCGCUGAACUUAAGCAUAUCAAUAAGCCGGAGGCU
rnacentral:misc_RNA from 1 species